CAAAGGUCAGGUUCAACACGCUCUGCGGAGGUCAAAGGUCAGGUUCAACACGCUCUGCGGAGGUCAAAGGUCAGGUUCAACACGCUCUGCGGAGGUCAAAGGUCAGGUAUAAACGCGCUAUAGAGGUCAAAGGUCAGGUUCAAAAAAGGUACCUGGGCUUAGGGACCACGAUGUUAGGAGUUAGGAUCACAGCCUUUAGAAGGCUGAGAACCACCGGUCUAGUGAGUGAGUGAGUAAUGGUGUUGAGUGAGAGAGUGAGUGAGUAAUGGUGUUGAGUGAGAGAGUGAGUGAGUGAGUAAUGGUGUUGAGUGAGAGAAGUGAGUGGUGGGUGGGUAAUGGUGUUGAGUGAGAGAGUGAGUGAGUGGUGGGGUGGGUAAUGGUGUUGAGUGAGGCCCCGU
ensembl:lncRNA